GUAGCGCGGUGGUCCCACCUGACCCCAUGCCGAACUCAGAAGUGAAACGCCGUAGCGCCGAUGGUAGUGUGGGGUCUCCCCAUGCGAGAGUAGGGAACU
rnacentral:rRNA from 11 species